GUAACACGUAGUCAACAUGCCCAGGGGACGUGGAUAACCUCGGGAAACUGAGGAUAAACCGCGAUAGGUCACUACUUCUGGAAUGGGUAAUGACUCAAACCUAUAUGGCCCCUGGAUUGGACUGCGGCCGAUCAGGCUGUUGGUGAGGUAAUGGCCCACCAAACCUGUAACCGGUACGGGCUCUGAGAGGAGGAGCCCGGAGAUGGGCACUGAGACAAGGGCCCAGGCCCUAUGGGGCGCAGCAGGCGCGAAACCUCUGCAAUAGGCGAAAGCCUGACAGGGUUACUCUGAGUGAUCUCCGUUAAGGAGAUCUUUUGGCACCUCUAAAAAUGGUGCAGAAUAAGGGGUGGGCAAGUCUGGUGUCAGCCGCCGCGGUAAUACCAGCACCCCGAGUGGUCGGGACGUUUAUUGGGCUCCGAGCAUCCGUAGCCGGUUCUACAAGUCUUCCGUUAAAUCCAGCUGCUUAACAGAUGGGCUGCGGAAAAUACUAUGGAGCU
rnacentral:rRNA from 1 species